UACGGAGGAUGCAAGCGUUAUCCGGAAUGAUUGGGCGUAAAGCGUCCGCAGGUGGUUUUAAAAGUCUGUUGUUAAAGCGUGAGGCUUAACCUCAUAAGGGCAAUGGAAACUAUAAGACUAGAGUACGUUCGGGGCAAGGGGAAUUCCCAGUGUAGCGGUGAAAUGCGUAGAGAUUGGGAAGAACACCGGUGGCGAAAGCGCUCUGCUAGGCCGCAACUGACACUGAGGGACGAAAGCUAGGGGAGCGAAUGGG
rnacentral:rRNA from 1 species